CUUGCUGGAUUUCGGUUAGAGAAAUGGUAAAGUAUGUUUUUAUUAUAAGUACUGAAUACAUUCAAAAUUGUUUUCCGAUGAGCUAAAUCUUUUACGAACAAAUCGAAGGACACGUUUCAUUUGGUUGUUUUCUUCCUUUUCGUUUUCGGCCAUCGUCUUGGAAUCGGUUCGUCAUUAAAGAAAGAAGAGGAAAGCACAAUAAAUAGGUGUAAUUCACGAAUCUUCGCUCGUUACUAAUGACGUAUUUUUGUUUUGUUACAGAAAAAAAAGUCGACAGAAGUUUUAUUUUACUCUGUUGAUAACCCACAAUUGUUUGUGUCUGAAGACAGAGAGGGUGAAGAUUGUGUUGUCUUUCAGCCCUACGACGAAAUGAAUGGAAGCUUUUGGAAUUAUCGUCCACACAGGCCGUCUUGAUUAAAUGAGAAAACCUCGUUGACGAUUUCACCAGAAAGAAAAAAAAAACAGAAGGAAGAUUUUAACGAAGCGGAAGAGGAGACUUUUCA